UACGUAGGGUGCAAGCGUUAAUCGGAAUUAUUGGGCGUAAAGCGGGCGCAGGCGGUGAUGUAAGACAGGGGUGAAAUCCCCGGGCUUAACCUGGGAACUGCAUUUGUGAUUGCAUCGCUGGAGUGCGGCAGAGGGGGAUGGAAUUCCGCGUGUAGCAGUGAAAUGCGUAGAUAUGCGGAGGAACACCGAUGGCGAAGGCAAUCCCCUGGGCCUGCACUGACGCUCAUGCACGAAAGCGUGGGGAGCAAACAGG
rnacentral:rRNA from 1 species